UACGUAGGGGGCAAGCGUUGUCCGGAUUCAUUGGGCGUAAAGAGCGUGUAGGCGGCCAGGUAGGUCGGUUGUGAAAACUGGAGGCUCAACCUUCAGAGGUCGAUCGAAACCAUCUGGCUAGAGUCCGGGAGAGGAGAGUGGAAUUCCUGGUGUAGCGGUGAAAUGCGCAGAUAUCAGGAAGAACACCGGUGGCGAAAGCGGCUCUCUGGACCGGUACUGACGCUGAGACGCGAAAGCGUGGGGAGCGAACAGG
rnacentral:rRNA from 1 species